UUCUUUUCAGCAUCUUUUAGUACAGCACGGAUUGUGGUGAGGUUUUCAUUUAGCUUCUGGGUCAAUUCUCCAACACCCAAAAAGGAUGCAAUCUCCUCUCGAACAAAAGAUCCGAGGUUUUCAAUCACGAUUCCAAUUAAAGCGUCAGCCAUUUCGAGAAAUGUGAACAGAAAUGUAUCAAAGUUUGCUAUAGGAAAUUGAAUAUGAUAAAUUGUUUGUUUUUGAUGAUUAAAUCGGUGGUUAUAGUUGCCUCUUAUAGACAACAAUAAUUAGUAUUAUUCAGUGCUUAGGAAAAGACAGUUUGUGAAAGGUAGGGCUUAGGAAUAUUGUUGUCUGUCAAAGGUAGGGCUCAAUUAUUGAGAAUAAUUGUUAAAUGGAGAAGAAUCUCAUUCCAAAAAUCUAGCAUAAAGGAUGAGUCCUAAUACGCUUCAAUAAUUAUACUGCAAGUUUUCUAAACAUAAUAAAUAAUACAAAAAUUUAACCUAUAAAAUGAUCAUACCAUUUUGAAGCUUAGAUAAAGAAGUUUGUCAUGAGAGCAAAUAUUUUGGAAAAUUAUCCACCUACACUCCUACUUCCUGCGUAAAUUUCAACAAUAUAUAGUUCAAAGUAAUAGGGAGUUAGCUAGGUCAGUUGAUUUGAAUUAAAGAAAACUAGUUUAUUUAUCCGGCAUUGUUUGGGUUAGACAUAAAUCAAGGAUGAGUGAAAUUCGGUAUGUGUGGUAUCCGCAAAUAAAAUUGACCUUUGACCAGUAUAAGACGAAUAUCUUAAUAAGUACACACAAAUAGAAUAAAAAACAUAUUUUAAGUACAUGUAAAUCAAUAGAAAAAUUAAAGAUAAUCAGAGUCAACAAUUAUUUAUUAUUUUUAGUUGUAUCAAAAGAUAAGAGAGAAGGAGAGAAUCAAUAACCCUGGUGGGCCGCGAUAAUUAUGAAAGGGUUAUAUUUAUGAUCACUGAUAUUGGUUAUAUUUAAGUAUACACAUAUAGUUAAGUAUACACAAUUAUAUUUAUGCUGGAUAAUUAUGGAUAUAACCCUUUCAACAAUUGUAUAAAAAUACAUGAAAUUAGUUUUAGAAGCAUGUCUCAUUUCCUUGCAUUUUAUUUGAUACAGAUGAAAGGGUUACAUAUCCAAGACACGUAGGAAUUCGUACCCGUUAUUAAAUUAGCAAAAUUAUACAAUUGUUGUAUAACUUAAAUAUAAAAAAAUACAAAAUUAAAUACAAUGAAUUUCCUAAUUAAUGAUUUUUGUUUGAUUAGUAAUUUGUUGUCAAAGUGAAACCGUGUGAUAUAACAUUUUUAGCCGAGUUUGCAUGAAAAUUAGGGUAUUAUGUUUGUAAAUGUAUUAAAUAAGUGUACAACAACUUGUAAAAAAAAAAUGUCUACAGAAACAAUAGAUAUAUACAAACGAUGACACAACAGGAUAGAAAUGAAAAGCUCAUCAGUGAGGAGAAAUAUUAAGGAUUGCUGCAUUUUAUAGUGAAUUUGUUAGGUGUUAGGUUAAAUUGGUGCGCUGCAUUUUAGAUGAAAUUUGUUAGGUUAAAUUGCUCUAACCUAAUGCAACAUUUUAGAGGGAAAUUAUUAGGUUCAGUUGCUGCAGACCUAAUAAAAUUAAUAAAUAAGGAUAUUAAUCUAACAAAUUAACUAUACAAACAAUUGUCAUUCAAAAAAAUUAAUAUUCAAAGGGCAUGCUUUCUAAGACCUAUUUUUGAACUUAUAGCUUAUUGUUAGGGUUGAGAAUGAAUCGGGCCAACUCAAACAAAGUCUGAGAUUCGAUUUGAUAAUUGAUCCGUUGAAUUUGGUUUAUCAACCAAAUGAGAUGAACUUGAGUUCGUUAAUUAAAUGAGUUGAACUAAAGUUAUAUAUGGUUUGACUUGUUUAGUUCAUGAUCUGACUCGAUUAAUAUUAUGUAUAAUACUUAAUUUUUUCAUUUUAAAAUUUAUAUAAUUGACUUAAUAUAUUUAAAUUAUAAAUUCUAGUAUUAAUGUAUGUUGAUUUUAAAGGGAUUAUUACUAGUAUUAUUUUAAUUAACUAUUUAACAUUUUUAUGGUACAAACUAUUUAACAAUUAUUUAAAUCGAACAAUUUAAUAAGUAAAAAACCUAUAAAAGUAGCAGCAAUAUGUGUGCUCUGGUUCAAGUAUACACAACUACUAGCAAAAGAAGAAAAACGCUUAAUAGCACUUUAUGUCCCACCAAUUAAUUUGCAUUUCCAAUACUCUGAAGUUAGUGGCUAUUGGUUAAAAAUUUAAAUUUAAAUUAAAAUAUUUGAGCUAACAAAUCUAACUGAGUUGUUUAUAAACUUGAAUCGAUUUUGAGUGUUCAAGCUUAAAUAAAAGUUCGAAUUAAAUUUGAGUCAAAUUUUAAGCCGAAUAAAAUUUUAUCAAGCAGAGUUGAGCUAUGUUUGAUUCAACGUUUCAUAACAAUCAUUUUUUUAUGAGUUUAUAGCUUAUUUUUAUAAGUUUAUAGUGGUUUGUGAUAAGCUAAUUGAAGUAGCUUAAUUGAAAAAUAAAUAAUAAUUAAAUUUACAUUUUUUUAUUAUUUCAUAUUUAUAAAUUAUUUCAACCGUUAAUUUUAUCAACCAUUGAAUAUUCAGUCAGCUAUAAGCUAGCAUAUAUCAUUUGACCGAGCUUUUUUCAAUUUUAAAAGCUACUUUAAACUUGAAACAAAAAAUAAGAGUUUUAUAAAUAAAGCUAAAGUUAUUUGUUUCUAUAAUUAUUUUUCAUUUUUCUAUGGAAUUAUUGUUAUUAUUCUGUAACCAGCUUAAAAUAUAUUUUUAACGAAAAUUGCUUUAAAAAAUAUUUUUCCAAGAUCAUAGUUUUCUAUUAAUAAAUAUAAAAGAAUACAUUAAGACAAAAAAUUUAUGAUAUAAGUAAAAAUCAUAUAAAUAAUAAAUUAAAAGAACUAAAUUAUGUCAAGUUGAUUUAAUAAUACAAUAAUAUAUAUAUAUAUAUAUAUAUAUAUAUAUAUAUAUAAGCCAACGUAUCUAUAAGUUAAACUAUAGUUCGACUUGGACCAUGAUUUGUAUAAUAAAAAAGACAACAAAAAGAAAACUUACGCUUGGCUACAACGUAAAAGAAGGAGUUAUAUUACUCAUAUUUUCAUCUGAUAUGAGACAUAUUAUACACACUUGAUAUAUCAACCAUCUCCCCCUUCAUGUGUGAAUACAUUCAUUUUAACGGGUAUGCUCCCCUCAAAUGGAAGCUUUUUCAUCCACUUCUUCAUGUACCGUCGCUGCCACACUCAACAAGACUUGUCGCCUAAACACUCAUGGGCAAGGAGACUUUUGACAGAAGGAGUCGGUCGAACUUUAGCUCCGAUGCCACUAUUGCAUCAUGAAGGGGUCAAGAGGAUCAUAACAUCAGGUCUUAAACAAUCAUACAAGUGAGAAAAACAUCACACUUUUAUUCAAAAUUUUAAGACAUUAGAUUUAUGAAUGAUCGAUAGUUAUUUUUACAUCUGAUAUACGACUUAUUAUCUACGUUUGAUAUACCAACCUAAGAUGUCAAAUGUCACUGUGUACUUUUGAACGUGGGAGCCCGCGUUGGGAAUUGGUAUCCAUUGGUUUUCUAUCUUUAAGAUGUGCUUGCUUUUCAAAAUAGCGAACUUGAACAUAUGCUAAUUUGAUAUGAUUAAAUAUUCGAAUAUAUUUAUGCUUACAUUUUAUAUUUGAAUUAGAAUUCUUAAAGUUAUGCCUUUUAAAUUAGCCAUAACCGCAAAACAAAUAUAAAGAAAUAAAAAAAAAAAACAUUUUAGAUGGAAAUCAUGCGAUUAAAAGAGUUAUACCAGCGUCCCGUGAGCAUAGCUCAGUUGGUAGGACAAAACAUUAUUAUAUGCAGGAGUCGGGGUUCGAAUUCCGGACACACCACUUAUUCACCUUGUAAGAUAAAUUCUAACCUCUAGACUGCCUGAAAAAAAAAAUUAUAACAGCAUGUUGUUUUAAUAUCUCGUACAAUUAACUAACAAUAAUUAUACUGAUCAUUUCCUUCAAAAAAAAUUAUACUGAUCUUUAGCAUAAGUCGCGUAAAACAACGUAUUAGUAGUGGAAGGAGCUUUAUGAAUUACGAUUAUAAUAAAAGCAGUCAUCCAAAUUAAAUUGCAGGUACAUUGAUUUUUUUUUGGCGUUAACCCUCCAAUUCUCAGAGAAAAUGGGGAGCCACAAAGUAGGUAUUAUUAUUAAGAUGGUCUUAGGGUUUGUUUGCGAGUUGGAUUUUGGAGGGGAGGGAACGAAAGGAACGGCUUAUGGAGUGUAAACCCUUGUUUGUGAGUUUUAAAAAAACAAGGGAAAGGUUUUGGGGGGUUUUGAAGGGCUUCAUUUGUUCAAUUUUAAAGUUCCCCCAAUUUGGGGGUUAAACAUACAAAUUGACAAUUUUGCCCUCUUAAUAAUUCAAAAUUCCAAUUUUAGACAUUACUAAAAUUAUUACAAUCUUUUUUAGAAACAACUUAUUCAAAACAACUUACUUAUACAAAACAGCUUAUUACGACCUCAUUUUCAAAAACCGCUUAUUCAAAACAACUUAUUACGACCUCAUUUUCAAAAAUUGCUUAUUCAAAACAACUUAUUUAUAUAAGCUGUUUUUCUAAAAAGAGGUCAUAAUAAGCUGUUUUGUAUAAAUAAGCUAUUUUGAAUAAGUUGUUUUUUAAAAAAAAGAUCGUAAUAAUUUGUUUUUCAUAAGAUAAGCUAUUUUUUAAAAAGAGACCGUAAUAAGUUGUUUUGUAUAAGUAAGUUGUUUUUAAAAAGUGAUUGUAAUAAGUUUUUUUGUUUUUAUAAAUAAGUUGUUUUGAAUAAGUUGUUUUUUAAAAAAUAGAUCUUAAUAAUUUGUUUUUGAUGCGAUAAGUUGUUUUGAAUAAAUUAGAAGUUAAAUUACGAAGUAUAACAAUGUAUUGAUUUUAAGAGGAAAAGGGUAAAAUAGUAAAAUUAUAACAUAAACCCUCCAUCUUCUUUCCUUAUUGGCUUUUUAACUCCCAAACAAGGGGAAGGUUUUCCCUCCUUUCUCCCUUCCCUCCCUUUCCUUCCCUUCCCCUCCUUAGCCUUUCCUUUCCUUCCCCUCAAAACUCGCAAACAAAGCCUUAGGAAAUUAAUUAAAGGGGGAGCAAAAAUGCACCUUUGCAAGGAUGUUAAAAAAAUGGGGAUCUUUGUUAAAUGAUAUAUUAGCAAAAAUGUAGUUUAAAAUACAAGGAUAUGUAGAUAUAGUCAGAUUAUUGAAGUUUAUUGAGUGUGAUGUUGCAUAUAAUAAAAAAAAAACAUUUGUUUUAGAUAGGAUAUGAUCUUACCUAAUCAAAAGAACCACAUCUGGUGUUAUUGUUUGUUGCAUUUGUGAGCUUGGAAUGGCAGGAAUGUGUGUACUUGCAGUCACUCUAAUGUUCAAGUCAGUAUAUGAACUAGAAAGGAGGUGCAUGUGUCGUUGUAAAUGAAAAAUAGUCGCUGCGUGGCCGUUAAGGCUGCUGAAACCGUAAUCGUCGAGCAUUAUGAAAUGGCAAUCAUGGGGGCUGUUACAAUUUUGUUUGAAUUGGAACCCCAUGUUGCUACAAGCACCCUCCAUGAGGGGAGGGGGUGUGAAGUAAGUGAUUGGUCCAAUGAUGAGUUGGCUUGUUCAUGAUCAUAGGCCUAUGGACAAACUAAUAUCCUCCAAGUCAUUUCUCUUGUAACAAGAGUGAUGACUUCAAGCAUGAAUGAGAUUCUACGCGAAGAUAUAUAGAUGCUCACGGGAGCUAUGUUACGAAGAGCGUGAUGUUAUACUAAUACUUGUAAUUUACAUGAAAUUUACAAGUAUUAGGUGUAACGAGGAUUGCUGGUUUGCGAGAAACUUUGCUAGUAUAAAAUUUUAUGCUUGCAAAAAGCUAGUGAUUUUGAUCCACGGCUUGGAGUUGUGGUGUGUUCGCAAGGAUUAUGCCCGAGGAGAGUAAAAGGUAGUAAUGCUCGUUAGAACUUUAUUUCUUUGGAGUUCUUGUAACACCCCGACUUCCCAACAAUUAUAUUAAUAAAUAAAAUCAGAGUUUAAAUCAACAACGGAGUGUUAUACUGCUUUUCAAAAUUUCUUAAAUAGAAUAUAAAACUAUUUAAUAAACAUCCUUCUUAAACGACAAUAAUUUACAGCGGAAAAUAUCUUUCAAUGUUAAAACAACUUCCAAUAACCCUUGGCACAUGGCCUCAACAAAAUAUCUUUAAAGAUUAAAAUCCACAUUCAACAAGUUCAUAAUGAUACAUAAGGAAUGAAAACAUGACAACAAAUUUCCAUCCCGUUACGUAUCAGAGCACUAGGACACAUGAGCCACCACUUCAAAUACUCUUCAAUACCUGCAAGUUACCCAUACGAAGGGCAACAAUUCCAAGCAGAAGGGGUGAGAUUCACAAACAAUAAUAAUAGAUAUAUAAAUCAUCAACUUAAUUAAAUAACAUAAUUAACAACAUUUAUCCAAUAAUAAUAUUCAUACUUCUUCAAUUUUAAUAACACUUACUAAUCCAAUCAACAACAACGACACAUCAGUAUUUAACAACAACUACAACAGCUUAUCCAACAACACUUCACUCGACAACAACUCAUUCAACAACACCCAACAACAUCUACAACAACAACUCUCUCAACAACAUCUACAACAACAACUCUCUCAACAACAUCUACAAUAGCAACAACGCGGUACUAUUUUCAACGGGUUGAAUGACUAAGCAAUCCGGGGCAUAAGACCCCAACAAUUUGAAUGACAAGGCAUUCCAGGGCAUGAGCCCUCAACAGUUGAAUGACAUAGCAUUCCAGGGCACACUACAACAUUUUCAUCUUACGGCAACGCCAAAAAAGCGUAGCAAACUGUGAAAAAACUGUUGCUGUUGUCUACCAGAACGCUUUUCUGUCUGUGGCAAACUGAGGCGUUGUCUUAUCUUUCCAGAACGGUUUUCUUCACAAAGGGCAACGAUGUGGGAAUAACCGUAGUUUUAGUGUUUAAAAGAAAACGGUUUUUAAAGGUAAAAACAACAACGUUAUUUCUCCGUUGUGAAGAAGAAAAACGUAGCAAUAGGUACCCUUUUGAAACGGUUUUCUAGGGGAUGUCGCUACGCCUCUCACCGUUGCUAUUGCGGAAACCGUUCUGGAAGACCUUUACCAAAUUACCUCUUUAUAAGUACCCCCAACAGUCAAAAAGUGUUGCAAAACACUUUUUUUUCAAAAAAAAAAUUAUCUCGUAAAUGAAUUAAAAAAGAAAAUAAAGUCUGAAAAAAACAAUAACAUAGAUAAAAAAAAACUUUAAAAUUGUAAUCUGGUACUAAAAAAAAUAUUACAACUGUCGAUCAUCAUUGAUCACAAUGAAAGUAACAUUUACACAAUUACAUACAUAAUAAUUUUUUUGGAAUUCUAAUAAAUACCCUUAGAGAUAAUGACAAUUAUCAUUAAUCACAUUCAAUAUAACAUCUUCAAAGUGACCACCAAUAUCCAUCAGGAAAACAAAAAAACAAGCACCAAAUUUAUAUAUCUUCAUCUUGUUCUUCCAAAUCUUGAAAUUCUUCGUCCAUAUCAUCUAUAUUCUUCUAGAAUAAAAUGAAAAUGUUCAAUAAGUUAUGUGUACAAAAAUUCCCUUGGACAAUACAAAUUUCAAACAUGGUAAUAGCAAAUAGAGGCAAAGAACCAUACACGGGUAAACUAAAAUGCUAUAUUUGAGCACAUAAGAUUAUUACUUUUCUAUAUCAUAAGAAAUUUAAACAGAUAAAAACAAAGAGAAAGAGAUGAAAACCUUAUUUAUUUUUUGCUUUAGAUGUAUCAACUUGCCGAGCCUCAUUGAAGGCUACAAAAUUGAUGAUUAACCUGCCAAUAAUAAUAAAAAAAUCAAUGAGAAAACACAAAUACAACAAAAUAAUUAAGGAAAUAUCGGUGAGAUAACACAAAUACAGGAAUAUAGGAAACCAAUGGAGAUAUACAGGACACCGAGUUAGAUUUUCAAUGUAAAUCACGUUGAGGUGUCACUCCUUUUCCCUUUUCAUCUAAAAACCAAAGAAACAAGUUAUAUGUUUAUUGUUAUGAGGUUUGAAAGGAACUUGUGGAGUUUGUGAAUAGAUUUGAAAGCAGGUAAACAAUUUUUAAACAAGUGACUAUCCAACACUCAAAAUCACCCAACACCCAUGUUUGUUCACGCACAACAUAUCAAUUCAACUCAGCCCAUCACAAUCAAAAGAAUACGUCUUAUGUCAAAGUCAGAAAAAUAUAAAACCAGUAUCACAGCAACAUCUUAUAUGAUAAAAAGAAGUAGCUCAAUUAACAUAUUCAUUCACCUUAUAACUGCAAUUCAAAAAGAAUUUGUCACCGAAAAAGAAACAUCUCACAUAUAGUUUAAAAAAAUAUAUUAUCAUUCUACAGUUUCCAAUUAACCGAAUUAUUAAAUAUUAUUAAAAACCAAGUAAGCAAAUGAGAAAAGUCACGACCUCCAAAAUUUAGCUAUGGAACAAGAACAUGUAAGUGCUUCAAUUAUAUGGCAUGUUCACAAGGUACUUAGAUUCACUCUAACAAUCACAUGUUUGUUCUAUAAUAGGAGCACCAUAAACUUUUCAAACUAGUAUCAAUUAGAGAUUGCUCCAUUGUUUCAAACAUAGUCAUAAACAAGUUGUGACAGAGACACACGUCACACCUGGAAAGACAACCACAAACUCAACUCUGAAUGUCCAUAUACUUCUUGGUAAAUUGCACAAAUCAACAAUGAAAUGAAGUGCCUAUGGCAUCAUAAAAAAUUAACACCAAUAACUUUGUAUUUAAGCUGAUCAAAAUUUUCAUCUGUGAAGAAUACUAGCAAAUAUGUGUAUAAUAUAUUAUAAAAUUCACUAAACUUAAUUUGAUUUAAUUUUAGUUGCAGGCCUUUGAAUUAAAAUACACAACAUGUACAAAACUAAAUAAUGAUUAAAUAGUUAAGAUGAUUUUCACCUGAAUGCCACAUGUUGGUUUAAAAUCAAAGCUUGUCAAAUAGAUGACAAAAGCUUAGAAGACAUUGAGUGUAUAUGAGUAGUCCAUGAAUAUGUAUUCCAAUCUUUCCAAACUUCAAAAAAAUUAUGAGACGUAUAAAAAAGAAAUGAACUAAAGACCGAACUCAAUUGAUAUUUUGUUGCUCCUUCCAUGUUCCACCAAUUCAUACAUUCUUAGAAUGAUUUACUGAAAAUAUAAUAAAAUCUUUACAAUGACAGUGCAUAUGAAUCAAAUCCAUAAAAUUUACAGUGUCAUAGUCACUUUGAGAUAUAACUCUAAAUAAAUAGAGUAAACUACAGUUAUAAACACAUGUUAAAUCCAAACACUCACUAAGAAUUAAUAUUAAUUAAAAAUAAAUAAACACUUAUUAGAGCAUACCAUUUUACAUAAAUAAGAAGAGGAUUAAAUUAACAAUCAAUUGCCUAAUCUUAAGUUUCAAGACUAAAUCAAAAUUCUACAAAAUAAAAAAUCAGUAAAAUUGUCGAACACACACCGAGCCAGCAAAAGGGUUUUGAAUGAAAGAAGACUUGCCGUGAUGAGGUCGGGAAGAAUACAGAAACAUGUGUGAGCCAUCAAAAGGGUUUCAAAUAGGUUGAGGAUUCGAAUGGUUUCUGCAUGAGUUUCAAAGGGGUUCUGAGAUUCGAAGUAAAAUAUGUUUAUUUCACAUCAGACCUCCUAUCCAUUGAUGUGAAACCUAUUAUUUAAAAUAUAUAUAUAUAUAUAUAUAUAUAUAUAUAUAUAUAUAUAUAUAUAUGCUCUUUUUUAUAUAAACUGCAUUCCUUUUAUUUUAAAAAUAAGAAGAAAAAAAAAUAUGGAUUUUUUAAUGACACAUCAAUAUUUUAUAUUUAAAAAAGUACAUAUGCAUAUAUGAAUACAAUCUAAGAAGUUAUAUUAUAGCAAUAUCCACAGUAAAACUCUCUGAAUCACUAGAAUCAUAGCAAAGCCUCUGUUGGAGUCUACAUUUUGGAAGAAGGGCAAACUACAGAUAAAAAGAAAAUAAUUGUAUAGAUGAACUAAAAUCAAAAUAUUUUGGUUUAUAUCCACUUGAGUUCUAAGUCCUUAAUACCUUGUGUAGCAGAUAAGUAACACCGUUGAUCUGUAUUACAAGAUCUGAGGGUAUCUCUGAUGUCAUGUCCUGCAUUUAUGAGAAUACAUGUUAGUUUGUGAAAGGAUUGUACAGUGAUUGUUAACGAAACAAACGCCGUUAUGAAUACCUGGUAGCUUGUUCAGUCUAGAAAGUAUCUGGCUUUGUCCCAAGUUUCAUGAACUUCAUUUUUGUUUGUUGUUUUUUAUACCAAACGGACAAAAAAAAACUCGACUCGACUACAGUGCCUGCAAAUUCAGAAGGUUGUUCCUUAGAUUAAACCAUCACAGAUUCCAUAAAGUCAAGGUUAAUGGAAAAAGUGAAUCCAAAGGGUUAUCUAGUAGGCCAUGAGAUUGAUGAACAUAAUUAGAAUUGGCUGAAUAGUGUACCAUGAAACGCAAUAACAUAGCAACACAAACUUAUUAGAUAUUUUUUCCAUCAUUUCAAGAAAUUAAAGGGAUGAGGACAAAGAAAUUAGAAAUCAGUCUACAAAAGAUGAAGGUAGAAGUCAUAUGAAUGAUAUCAUGUUGUUGUCGUUGUCGGUUAGAACUGAAAAAACAUCACAAAACAAGAAAAAAAAAGAAAUCUGCAAUAGUCAACCUCAUUGAUUUGUAUAUAAAUAUGAAAGCUCUUCAAUUCAUAGAAGAUGACGUUGUCACUUCACCAAUGGACCAAAGAAAAAAACAAGAAAUUCCAAUAUAUGCCAUCAUUCCCAGAUGACAGCACUUCUUAGAGAACUUUCCUUAAAAAAAAAAAGAACUUCUUAGAGAACUUUACUAGAUGUCACACACUGCACACUUGUCUCUACUCUCUAGUAGUAGUAGUACCAUUGGAAGUAACUUCAAACAUUAAGCUGAAUUGAGUAGGUGAACAAGUGAAUUAAAACUUUAGUGGAUGAAGAAUACUCUCGUUGACCAACAUCAGGCUUCAAUUUUUUUUCUGCCUCAUGUGUUUGUUCCCGAUGAAAUAUGUAACAACAAACUGAACUAACAAAAAUGUGAAUUGAAAUAACUGUUAGGAGACAAACUUACGUUACUAAUAAAACAUAUUGAAUGUUGUGUCUCCUUUUUUUCAAAAACGAAAACACAUGGAAAAAAGGGAGCUGAGGAUAACAAGAAAGUGGUAAUAUUUGAGUUAAAAUCUUCUAGUCAUAAAAUCCUUCCAAAAACUUUAUCUCUAGCCUGCACAUUUUUCUAGUUGAUUUUUUUCUUGUAUAAACAAAUGUUAGCAUGUUAGUUUUUCAAAAAUAGGUCGUAAUUUCUUAUCAUUGUUUCUCUGUCCGCCUCAAACAUAAUUGCUUUCAUUAGAAGCACACAUGUGUGUUUCAUCCGAAAAAGAAUACACACACAACCCUUCCUAAUUUAAUAACAAGAAAUGAGAAGAAAAAAAAAAAAAGCAAAACGAGAAUGUACUCUACUAAUACACUCAGCAAUCACUUUAUAUGAUAUACACCAUUAAUUCCAUAGAUAUGAGGAUACACUACACGGGUAUGUUUUAGACAAUGAUUCUGAAAAUCCAAGAGAAAGCAUGAAAAAACUACUAGUAGUGUGUUACCUAACAGAAAGCAAAUAUUUUUGUGAGGCUACUUUGCUAAGUCACUUUCAGUAUGGUGUGUUGUAUCUCUAAAGAAUUUGAUACAUAAACUAGUGAUUGCAUGCUAAUGCAGGAGAUUCAUUAUGCUCCAUGCUUAAAUUUCAAGGAGCCAAGGAUUUAAAUUGCAAUUGUAGAUACAUCACAACGAUAUUAAAAAAAAUUAAGGAUUAAACAGGGCAACAAUUGCGGUCAAUAAAAUAAACUAAUUCAACCAAUACUAGAUAUUCUAAACUACCAAUUUCACUAAUCAAUCAAAACACAUUAGCAUGCAAUUUCAAAUAAAAGUUACAAAAAUCAACAAUCAAAUUUCACAUAAAAAAGUACAACAGCUAACAAUAGCAAAUUGAUGACAUUCACCUUAAACAUAAUAGUAGAUAAAGGGAAUAAGGAAAUUGUACAAGAAAAACAAAGGAACUAUGACAAAUCAUCUUCGCAUUCACUACUCUUUUUGGUUUUUAUAUUUGUGGUGACCAAAAUUUCAUCUUUUCAAAGUAAGUAAAGGUGCAACAAUAACUACAUUACUGAACCUAAAGGAGGACUUUAAACAGUAUUGACAAUUGAAACCCCACACUUAACAUUGAACUCUGUUACUAGGCAAUAUAAAACAUUAUAACAUCGAAAAUCAUAUCGGGGAUCAAGGCUGCUGAAAUCAACAACAUCAAAGACAAAUACAUCAAUAUUUUCCUAUGCCAGGGCAAACAAUAGUGUAAUCCCAAAUCAGUAUAGCAUGAAACAGAGUAAAAUGGAAUGAGACAACACCCAUUUUUUGAAAUCAAUCAGUAUAGCAUGAAACAGAGUAAAAUGGAAGACCAACAAUUCAUAAGGAACAAUAUUUAAAACUAAAAAGUAGUGGACAUCUUCAAACUGAUUCAAAACUAAAAAGCAGUGAACAUCUUCAAACUUAGUUUGUGUAAGAACAACAACACAAGUUUUCUAAGUAUUGAACAAUCGAGAGAAGGGAUUAGGGGUUAGGGUUCCAAGUACUGUGUUCCACAGAUUGAAGAGGGGUUUCAUGAUUUUUUUUAACAACAAAGGGUUAGGGUUACCGAUUGAAAAGUCAGAGAGAGAGAGAGAGAACUCACUAGAGAGAGAGCUUCCGAUUGAGAGAGAGAGAGAGCGCUUGGACGGUGAGAGGUUCCGAUUGAGAGAGAGAGAGAGAGAGAGAGACCUUCGACGGUGACGGUGUGAGGUUCCGAUUGAGAGAGAGAGAGAGCCCUUGGACGGUGAAUGAAUGAAUGAAUGACGCACAAGAACGAUUGAUAGAGUUUGGCAUUGGAAAAAAGUGUUUUUUUUCGUCUAAGAGGAAAUUGUUUUUUGUCUACAGGGCUGUUGGGUAUCUUUUGAGAAAAAUUAUCUUUCAUAAAAAAUAGCGCUAACUAUUUAUUUUUUAAAAUGAUACGUUUUUUUGUUAUAUUAAGAUUGUUUGUUAUAGUUUUUAGGAACGGUAUUUAACAAAGUAGUUACUCAUACUUUUAUUAAAAAUAAUUAAAAAUUAUACUAGAACGGUUAAUACGUAUUGACGAAUAUAACAAACAAAAAUCCGUUCUCGUUUCUUAUACCACAACGCUUUCGAGUUGUUACGAAUAAAUUGAAAAAAUAUUAUAUCCUAUUACAACAUAAUCAGAAAAUCGUUGUCCAUGGGACUCUACCAAGACGGUUUUUUUACCUUCCAAAAUUUAGGCGUUAUCGUCGAGCAUUAUGAAAUGGCAAUCAUGGGGGCUGUUACAAUUUUGUUUGAAUUGGAACCCCAUGUUGCUACAAGCACCCUCCAUGAGGGGAGGGGGUGUGAAGUAAGUGAUUGGUCCAAUGAUGAGUUGGCUUGUUCAUGAUCAUAGGCCUAUGGACAAACUAAUAUCCUCCAAGUCAUUUCUCUUGUAACAAGAGUGAUGACUUCGAGCAUGAAUGAGAUUCUACGCGAAGAUAUAUAGAUGCUCAUGGGAGCUAUGUUACGAAGAGCGUGAUGUUAUACUAAUACUUGUAAUUUACGUGAAAUUUACAAGUAUUAGGUGUAACGAGGAUUGCUGGUUUGCGAGAAACUUUGCUAGUAUAAAAUUUUAUGCUUGCAAAAAGCUAGUGAUUUUGAUCCACGGCUUGGAGUUGUGGUGUGUUCGCAAGGAUUAUGCCCGAGGAGAGUAAAGGGUAGUAAUGCUCGUUAGAACUUUAUUUCUUUGGAGUUCUUGUAACACCCCGACUUCCCAACAAUUAUAUUAAUAAAUAAAAUCAGAGUUUAAAUCAACAACGGAGUGUUAUACUGCUUUUCAAAAUUUCUUAAAUAGAAUAUAAAACUAUUUAAUAAACAUCCUUCUUAAACGACAAUAAUUUACAGCGGAAAAUAUCUUUCAAUGUUAAAACAACUUCCAAUAAGUUCAUAAUGAUUAAAAUCCACAUUCAACAAGUUCAUAAUGAUACAUAAGGAAUGAAAACAUGACAACAAAUUUCCAUCCCGUUACGUAUUAGAGCACUAGGACACAUGAGCCACCACUUCAAAUACUCUUCAAUACCUGCAAGUUACCCAUACGAAGGGCAACAAUUCCAAGCAGAAGGGGUGAGAUUCACAAACAAUAAUAAUAGAUAUAUAAAUCAUCAACUUAAUUAAAUAACAUAAUUAACAACAUUUAUCCAAUAAUAAUAUUCAUACUUCUUCAAUUUUAAUAACACUUACUAAUCCAAUCAACAACAACGACACAUCAGUAUUUAACAACAACUACAACAGCUUAUCCAACAACACUUCACUCGACAACAACUCAUUCAAUAACACCCAACAACAUCUACAACAACAACUCUCUCAACAACAUCUACAACAACAACUCUCUCAACAACAUCUACAAUAGCAACAACGCGGUACUAUUUUCAACGGGUUGAAUGACUAAGCAAUCCGGGGCAUAAGCCCCCAACAAUUUGAAUGACAAGGCAUUCCAGGGCAUGAGCCCUCAACAGUUGAAUGACAUAGCAUUCCAGGGCAUGAGCCCUCAAUAGUUUCCUAAUCAUGAAAGACUCAACUUGUGUAUAUCAUCAUAAAACUCAACUACGACAACGACAACAUAGGCAACGACAACGAUUGUGCACAAUAACUAUGACUCACUCCCCAACUUGGUCAACAUCAACAACCUAUGACUCCGUUACUUAUAACGACAACUCACAACUUACAACCCGAACCAACACCUUGUAUAUUCUAAUUGAAUACAGUUAAGUAUAAACCAACAUUCAUCAACAAUCAUAAUCAAUCAACAACAACACAACAGUAUACAACAGCGUGAUAUAACAGUAUCUUAUGCAAUUCAACGAUGUCUAACAUUUUCACAUAAUCCAAGUAAUACUUAUACAAUUUUAUCAUAUUAAUAACCUCAAUUUGUCAUAACCAGCUUCUCAGAUCAUCAUUUAUAUCCUAUACAUCUUUCAUUGUUAUCCCAAAGUUCAACUCACAACCACUCGUGCGACAAAACCACAAGAAACCUAAACACGGCAGUCUGUCAAGCACUAGCUCGCGAGGCGAGAGCCUCUACUCGCCACGGCGAGUUAGGGUAAAACGCUCAAGAAUCCAUUCUGACUCAUUUCCGAAUUCAAUCUCAUUCUAAAACUUUGCCUAAUCAUUAUGGUACAUGUUCAGGCCCUCGUAAACAUCCAAGGUUAAACUCACAGCUCAAAAAUGCGAAAUCGUGCAAGCUCUCUGUCCACACUCGCUAUGGCGAGUAAACUUGCUCGCUAUGGCGAGCUGCGUAGUGCAACUCGCGAGGCGAACAACUCCUGCUCGCAAGGCGAGCGAUGAUCUUCAUCCCUCGCUAUGGCGAGGAUCAUCACUCGGGAGGCGAGCGAUGAAUAUUAGUACGGGCAGAUUACAGUUUUUCUCAAAUAUUCACCCAAACCCUUUGUUCUAACUUUAAAACUGAUUCUAAACAUCAAUAUAUGGAACAUCUAAGGUCUGUUCAUCAUUUCUACAUCAAUUCACCCUAAUCCCAUCAUUUAAUCAUCAAUUCUCAUCAUAACCCUAAUUCCCAGUUCUCCACAUUUAUUCAUAACUUUUGUUAAAACAUAAUCAGAAUCAUAUACACUCGCCUGACCCUUCUUAGGCUUCUUGCACUGUGAAGUAAGAUGACCUUCUUCAUCACAAUUGAAACAAACAAUAUCACCACGCUUGCAUUCAGCUAUUGUGUGCCAUUUCUUCCCACAUCGGAAGCACUUCUUCUCCUCACCAUUGCAAACAUUACUCUUGUGGCCUUUCUCACCACACUUGUAGCAAACAAUCUCAGCAGGAUCAUCUCUCCUCUUAGGUCUCCUCUCAUCAUUCAAUCUCUGUUCCCCUUUGUUUACAGGAGCACUGUAGGGUUUCGGACGACCUUGUUGACCCUUGUUCCUCCGCUCAUUCCUAAUCUUAUAGUGAGCUUUGGUAUCCUCCUCAUAUAUCAUGUAGCUACUCACCAACUCGGAAAAGUUUCUUAUCUUCUGAUAACCAAUAGCCCUCUUGAUAUCAGCUCUUAAACCAUUCUCAAACUUUAUACACUUGGAGAACUCAGCUGUCUCCGCACUAUAAUGAGGGUAGAACUUAGCAAGUUCCACAAACUUUGCAGCAUAUUCUGUAACUGACAUAUCACCCUGUUUCAGCUCCAGAAAUUCAAUUUCCUUUUUCCCUCGGACAUCCUCCGGAAAAUACCUAUUCAGGAAUUCUCUCCUGAACACAGCCCAGGUCACCACAACACCAUCUUGUUCAAGCACAGGUAAAAGACUUUUCCACCAAUCAUCUGCCUCUUCAGCUAACAUGUGCGUACUGUAACAGCCCGAUUUUUAGCUAGUUUUAUUUAAUUACUUUUAUUGUGUGAUUGUAUGUAAUUAAUUAUGAUUGUGUGUAUUUUAUUGUCAUCGGGUGCAUUUAAAUGGAUUACCGUAUUAUAAGGGUAUUUUGGUCAUUUGGCGGGUAAGGGUAAAAUGGUAAUUUUGGUGAGAAUUAUUUUAUUAAUUGGUGAGAACCCUUAUUUUACUAAGUUACUAGUGUAGUGAUUAGUUUUUACCGUUAGUGACCGUUGGUUAUAUUUUACUGUUGUUAGUAAUUAUCGUGGAGUGUAUAGAAACUUUUGAGUUGUGUUAGAAUGGGUUAGGCCCAUUAGAUUUUGAGUUGAGCCCAUUAAGGGGGAUAACACUAGGGUUGUCAUAGAAUGGUUAUUCAUUUCACAAAACAUUUUCAUAGAGAGAAGGAGAGGUAGAGAGAGAAGAGGUGAAGAGAAGAGCAAGAGGUUUGAAGGGAAGCUUUAGCAAUCAAGUGGGGUGACCUAGGAGCUGAAUUGAAGCAAGGGUUAGAGAUAAUCAACUUCAAAGGUAAGAGGGUUAGUGUCGCGUCAUUUUUUGGAGAUCAAGGCUAUUUGAUUAGCUUUUGACUCACUAAUUAUUUCACGACUGAACGUUUAAUUUUAUUAAGAAAAGGGGAAAAAAGUUCAAAACUACCCCUAUUUGAAAAGAUUUAGGGUUCGGGGGUUAGUUACAUAAAGGGAAGGUAUUAGCACCCUCUAUGUCCGUAGUACUCUACGGGAACCUCUUGGUUUUAUUUAAUUUAAUGUGCUAUAACUUGCUUGCUUUUGAAAAAGAAGUUAAUAUGAUGAUUAAAAGAAAAAGAAAGUGAGGCCUAAUUUAUCUACAUUUUUUAUUGAUUUGGAAGGACAUGGUCCUCUGCCUACGUACCCGUGAGGGAUCAAAACCUCGUAGUUCGGGGUAGAAAAUGACGUUUGAUUUGUUGAGUGUUUUUUAUUAGUUUUGAAAAAAGGGUUUUAAAAGGAAAAGCCAAGUGGCAAAAUAAGAAUUGGUUUGUAUUUUUGUUAAAAGAAAAUGGCUUAAAGUAGAUUUAAAGUUGAUUGCAAUUUUGAUUUAUGAAAGAAAUAAAAUAAAGACAAUCACUUGAUUUGGAUCAAGGUUUGUUUAUGAAAACGUUUUUGUGAUUUUUGUUAUAUUUGGAAUAAGAUAGAACUAACGGAGCAUAAAGAAUAAAAAGCGCGGCUACCCUAAGUUUAGAAAUAUAAAAUCUAUGACUAUUACAUAAAAAGCCUAUUUACAUUCUAAGGUCUGCGAUAAAAAUUAAAAUGCUAAAAAAAAAAAAAUAAACGAAUACGAAAAGGAAUAAGGAAAAAUAAAAAAAUGGUCCAAACACAAGGUGGGGUGCAGUAGAAAACAGGGGUGUGCAGAAAGCAGAAAAGGAAUUGGGCUUAAGGAAAACGAACCGGGUCGCGGGUCAUGGGUUAUGGGUUGACCCGGUUUGAGGAGUAUAUAAGGGUUGUAAACCCUAAUUCCCUCAUUUCUUCUCCCUCUUUCUCUCUCUUCCGUCUCUUUCUCUCUCUUGUUUCUUCUUCUCCGGCGGAGAUGGGGUUGCCGGGAGGAGUUCCGGCGCGGUGGCCGGCGAGCCAUCGCGGCUGCGCCGCCGCGCCGGAGCUAAAAAGCUCUCCUUUUUUUUUAAAUUUUUUUGCCUUUCUGCUUGUUUUCUUCUCCUCUACUUGAUUCUAACCUUAAAAAUUCCCAAUACUAAACCUAGACUCUUAGAUCUAAAAAAAAGGGAAGAUUACUUACUGUUUGUGCGUGCUCGUGAUUUGCGUUCGUGAAUCGAGGCUACGUCGUUUGCGUUGUGGUUCUGCGUGUGUGAUUCGUGCCGGUUCUGUGCGAUGUGUUUGUUGUGUUGCCGUGUUGCGGUUGCGCGCCUCUGUGUGUGUGUGUGUUGCUGGUUUGUGCGACUGUGUUGUUGCUCUUCUUGCUGCUUCUGUUGUUCUCUCGUAUUCUGUUGUUCUCUCGUAUUCUGUUGUUUUUUGCUGUCUUCUGUUGUGUUUUGCUCUUGUGCAGGUCUCUAUUUAUAGAGUGAGUUUGAGGCUAGAAUUUGUUACAAAAAUUGCAGAUUUUAGGAGAUUGAGACGGAGAUAGGCGCGUAACAGACUGGAUGAGGAUGAGGAUGAUGGUUUGUGAUUUGUUACGCAUGAACCUGGACUGUUCUUGGGACUCAUGGACAUUUUUGGGACUUUGGACAAUUUUGGGAUUUAAUAAAAAAGAAAAACUAAUAAUAAAAGGAUAAUAUCUAUAUUUUUGGUUUUAAAUAAAAUAAAUAAAAAAGAAAAAUUUAAUCUAAUCUUGGACUAAAAUUAAAAUUAGAAUUCUAAAAUAAAAUAAAUGAAUAAAAAAAAUAAAAGAUGGAAAUAAAUAAUUAAAGACUGAGAGAAGAGGGCCCGAUUCGGAACUUUAUGAGGUAUUUCAAAAUACCUCCCUGCCGAAUUUUUCACUGAAAUGUGAGUCUGAUCCGAGUUCGGAGACGUGUGUCAGUGGGACCUUAGGUCAAAAUUUGGGGUAUGACAGAUGCCCCUAUUUAAGUUUCUUCGCUCAGAGAUUUGAAGGUAAAAUCUUUGACUCGACGAGCCGAAGAGACUUAAAUACAAAAAGUGCACCAAUUUUGACCUAAGAUGUUUAUGAAUGCUCAUGAUUUAAUUAUGAAUGCAUGAUGACAAAGACGGCUCGACUGGAAUGAAAAGACAUUGGGAUACCCAAAUUCUUCGAAGAAAGGGAUCCGACUUUACUGGGGAAUCUGGUUUCACUGGGGAAGAUGGUUGUUCCUCAUUGUCUCGACAUCUCGAAACAAAGUGCAAUGGUUCAGACUCCAAUGUCCAUUUGUGGACUUGGUUUUGAAAAUGAAAUAAUAGAAGGAUACAAGCUAUUUGUUGGUUGAAAUUGGCCACUUGUUACAGGCUGUUCGUUAGUUGGAACUGGUCGCUGGUCAUAAAGAUAAAAGAUUGACACGAGUUGUUCGUUUGUUGGAACUAGUUGCUCGAAAGAAAAAACAUAGGCUAUUCGUUUGUUGGAAUCGGUCGCUGGGCAUAAAGAUAAAAGAUUGACAUGAGUUGUUCGUUUGUUGGAACUAGUUGCUCGAAAAGUUGGAUUGGUGACAUCUCUGGAACAGCUAUGUUGGGGAUGAUACCUAAAGUUGAAGUUGAUAUCGAGAUUAACUAGCGCCAUGACUAGUACGGCUUUCCGCCGGGGAUGACACUUCGAAACUAAAGUUGAAAUUGACGUUGAUUAGCGACAUGACCUAGCACGGUUUUUCACCGGGCAUGACACCUUUGAAAUUUGAAAUGGAAGACGCUUUACUCGUAGAAACUUGCGGCUUGACGCCAUGGUAAACUAAAACUGAACCGAAGUGACAUGACCGAAUCGAUUGAUGAGUUUAUGUAUGAAUUGAUGUCGUGUACAUGUUAUGUACGCACGAAUGCAUGAUUAUCAGUAAAUGCCUGUUUGUUAUGAGUUUGUGGUUGUAUGAGUGCAUGGAAGCGUUGAUGUGAUGAAUGCAAGAUAAUUUGACUCGAAUGAGAAAUGAUAACGGAUAACCAAAUUCUUUGAGAAAGGGAUUCGACUCUGCUAGGAGAAUAUUGUAGUUCUAUUGGGGGAAAAAAGUUGUCUACUAUCUGUAUGGUAGAUGUAAGAAGACAAGAGUUGUAUUACCUUACUACCCGUAUGAUAGUUGUAUGAAGGCAAGAUGAAAGAAAACAUUGUCCACUAUCUGUAAGAUAGCCGUAUAAAGACAAAUAAAUGAGAUUACCUACCACCCGUAAGACAGUCGUAUGAAGGUAAGACACAGAAGACAUUGUCUACUAUCCGUAACAUAGUCGUAUGAAGACAAAUGACAUAGAUUACCUACUACUCGUAUGGUAGUCGUAAAAAGGUAAGACGAAACAAGACAUUGUCUACUAUCCGUAAGAUAGUCGUAGGAAGACAAAUGACAUAGAUUACCUACUACUCGUAUGGUAGUCGUAAAAAGGUAAGACGAAACCAGACGUUGUCUACUAUCCGUAAGAUAGUCGUACGAAGACAAAUGGAAAAAACAAGAUAAAAGGGUAACCUCAAGCGGCCCGUUGGUGGACUUUGAUAGUUUGAAACGAGAUAAAAGGGUGAACUCAAGCAUCCGCUGGUGGACUUGGUGACUUGUUAUAAGGUAAAGAGAUAAAUGCAAGCUGUUCGUUGGUUGGAACUUGUCAUUUGUCAUAAAGUAAAGAGAUAAAUGCAAGCUAUUCGUUGGUUGGGACUUGCCACUUGAAAUAAGGUAAAAGUGAGAUGCAAGUUGUCCGUUGGUUGGGACUUGCCACUUGAAAUGUUUGAUUGGUGACAUCUCUGGAACAGCUACGCUGGGGAUGACACUUUUGAUAAAGAAAGUAAAACAAGACGUUCAUUUGUUAGAAACUUGCGGGUUCACAAAACGAUAAGUUAAGACCGAACUGAAGAGACACGACCAAAACGAAAUUCUGGAUGAUUGAUGCAAUUAUGUGUGAAUUGAUGUUAUGCAUAUGCUAUGUACGUAUAAACGUAUGAAUAUGUGAAAAUAUUGAUGCAUGAAUGCAUGUAUGUAUGAAUGUGUGAAUGAAAUGUAUGAUUGUAUAGACUUUAUCUGAUAGGCGACUCGAUGAAACGAGGCAAGACAGGUAAAAUGUGAAGGGGACUGACAUCGCAAUACAAAUACUCGGCAAAUUUCCUUGGAGAUGAUAUUAUUGUGAACAAAUCGAGCCGUUGACGGUGUAAGAACCUGCGUAAGGUAGCAACUGAUGCCUCCUGGGGGUAAGCCCAUUGUUAAUAAAAGAUAUGGAAGAAAUCGCCAUUUGUGAACCGGCACAGAGUGUCUUUCCAUUGGUUAUGCUUCAGUAGUCGUGCUUUUUCUGUUCUAUUUUCUUUGAGAAUCCCUAACUUUUGCCUGGACCGCCCUUUCGGGUUUUCAGUCCGCCGGGAAUAUUUUUUGUUUUGCCCCUAAUUUUGCCUGGACCGCCCUUUCGGGUUUUCAGUCCGCCGGGAAUAUUUUUUUGUUUUGCCCCUAAUUUUGCCUGGACCGCCCUUUCGGGUUUUCAGUCCACCGGGGCGCUCUCUAUUGCCUAAGUCGCCUUUUCAGGUUUUCGACUUAGCGAGCUUUGAUUUUUUUGCAUUUAUAUUUUUUGUAUUUUUAUUUUUGGACUGUGACAGCAUUUUGCUCAAGACAGAGGUCCUCUCCACAAUGCUUAGCCAUGUUUCUUUUUCAGAAUAUAAUCGUUCUCGAGACGGAUGCUGAUGUAUGCUCCAUCUUCUCACGAGUUCAAAGAGAAUGUGUUUGUUGUUCACACUUUUCAAAAGAUGUUAAAAAAAAGUUUUUGUAUUUUGAAAUUUUUGCUUUAAGUAUUGCUAUCAAACAUAGAAGAAAUUAUGCAAAUAGAAUAAAUGAGAGUUCCAAAUAAAUGGGCACAGGCUCAAAUUUGGUGAAUUGAGUGGUGACCUGCCAAUGGCAUGGUUCCAAGGAUUUUUGAAAAUUUUGGAAAAAUGGUAAAUGUAAUGGGGAGGGUACAUUGAACACAGUAACCAUUAUUCUCCCUAACAACUUUGAAUGCCCCUGUUCCGAGUCUUUGAUCUGCAGAUGCUUCGAGUCGGAGGUCUUUUGAUAGCUGGAUGCCCCAAGUGGAUUGUGCUUGGCCGAAUGCAUUUACUUUGUCUUUUUGAUCCUUAACUUUUGCAUAGAUCGCCCUUUCGGGUUUUCAAUCUAUCAGGAUAAUCAUUUUUGUUCAUGUCUCUAACUUUUGCCCGGACCGCCCUUUUAGGUUUUCAGUCCACCGAGACGCUCAUUUUUGCCUAAGCCGUACUUUUUCAGGUUUACGACUUAUCGAGCUUUUAUGUUUGACAGAGUAUUUCUUGACUGUACCGGCAUUCAUAGGAAGUGCAAGUUUGUCACCAUCCAUAGUUGUAAAAGUCAUUGCACAUGAACCUUCAUAGUUAGGCGUCCACUUGCCUUUGGAGUCUAGUUGGAAAUGUAGUACCUUUUCGGGCACAAAGUCUUCUUCUUGAAAGUCACGGGGACAAACCUUAUUGUUGGAAGUUUGUUUCAACCUCUUGUGAUUUUAAGUUCUUUCAAACUUGGAUUUCAGCAGAACUCCUAUUGUUGGGACUUCGACCUCCGCGAGAAGCACGACCUUCACGUUGUAUACUUGAGCGAAGGAGGGGGGAUGCCCCUGUUGAAAUGUGUACUGAAGCAGGAUAUCUGAGCAAAGAAAAUGAUAGCACCUCGAGCUAAUCUUUGUAAGCGAUUGCCAUCCUCUGAACUAUCUUCAUGAUUUUUUGUAGCUUUGACGGCUUAUGAUGCCCCAGUAUGCGAGAGAUCUCAUCGGGAGCCUCUUCACUUUCCUCUUCUUCAGCUUCGGAUACAAGGAACUCAAAGUUGGUAGAGAGUACAUGGUUAUUGUGUUCAACGGGUUUAUUAAUGCAUGAUUUGAUUAUUGAUUUUGACAAGUAAGUAUAAGUUAUGAUUAUGCAGAUAUUUGAGAAUGAUUAAAGAAAGAUUUUUUGGUUUUUUGUAUUACCAUUUUCCAAGAAAAAGCACAAAAUAAAAGCAAAGUCGGGAUCAAAACGACCUUUUUUAUAAAUGAUGACAAUUCUUAAAGCAAAAAGCCCUACACCAGUUCACUUUCAUCUCGGGCGGGACGAAAGGAUGUUUUUUGAAAAGGUAGUAAAAAAAACAAACAUAUCACUAGAAACAAAUCGAGUAGCAGAAGAAGACAUGAACAUCAACCCAAUUGCAGUUACACGCUCGGAUUCAAAUUCUUGAAAGGCAAAACAUCAUCGUCAAUCAGUUUCUGGACCUCAAUCUUCAAGGAGAAACAAUGCUCAACGUCAUGACCUUGUGCCCCUUGAUGGAAGGCACAAAAGAGGUCAGGUCUCCACCUAGCCGGUAAUUUCUUAGGUAUCGGCGGAGGUGGUCUGGUCUGGACAAGGUUUCUUUCAAGCAAAGAAGGAAGCAGCUCCGCAUAUUUCAUAGGAAUCGGAUCAUACUGCGGUGUUUUCUGAGCCUGAUGAGGUGGAUUUAAUUGCGGAUGAGCCUGUGGUCGAGGAUGACCUUUCGCCAUAUUCACUUCUUGGUCUUUCUUUUUUGAACUGCCUGCGGGGACACUUUCAUUGAUCAAUCGUCCUUCUCGGACCCCUUCUUCCAACUGUACACCCAUACCAACCAUCUCAGCAAAAUUCUUGGGCGUACUUCCGACCAUCUUCUUGUAGUAGAACUGAUUGAGAGUUUUUAAGAAGAGGUUGGUCAUUUCUUUCUCUUCUACACGCGGGCUGACUUGGGCAGCGGUAUCCCUCCAUCGCUGGGCAUACUCCUUGAACGUUUCCUUGCUCUCUUGAGUCAUAGCCUGAAGAUCACUUCGGUCCGGCGCCAUAUCCAUGUUAUAACUGUAUUGCUCCACAAAAGCUUCACAUAGAUCACGAAAAGUUUGGAUUCUCGUUUUCUCUAGAUUCGUGUACCAUUUUGAGGCGGGACCAGCCAGACUUUCUUGAAAGUAGCAAAUGAGGACCUGAUCGUCUCGAGCAUAUGCAUACAUCCUUCUUACAUACAUUUUCAAAUGUUCCUCGGGGCAGGAGUUCCCUUUAUACUUCUCAAAAUCUGGGAUCUUGAACUUGUGAGGUAUCUGGACAUUCGGCACCAAACAGAGAUCAUAAGCGGUCUUUCCAAAUUUUUCUUUCCCACGGAGAGCUUUCAUGUCUCGGCGUAGUUCAUCAUACUUUUCUCGUAGAUCGCUUACUCCCUCGUAAGCCUCUGCAUUCCUUGAAUGAAAGAUAGGCUCUUCAGUUUGCGGAAUUGUAUGCAUCACAGGUGCUGAGUAGGUCAUGGUGGCUGGAGUGACCCUCAUGGUAGGUAGGGGUACUUGAGCUGUGUGCUGGUGAGUAGGCAUCUGAGCUUCACAAGCAAUAGGACGAAAUACUUCACUGAGACAAAUAGGGACACCCCAAGGACGACCUUCUGGCAUAGAAUUUGGUGGAAUACUGACAGGUAUCGCCCAUUCAGGGGCAAUAGAGACAGUUGCUUCGGCCUGAGUGCUGAUAGGAGGAGGAGGUGGCGGUUGAUUAUGUGCAGCCGUCAAUGCUUUCAUCAAUUCAGUCAUUUCAUCCAUCUUAGUUCGCAUGACUGCCACUUCCUCACGAAGCAGUUGAUUUUCUUGUUCGAGAAACUCCAUCUUUUCCUCAUGAUUGUUCGAGUGUUGUAAAUGCGAGUGGGUUCCAGACGACGAUGCCAUGACUCUUUUGAGAUGGACUGACCUUUAGUAGAAAAGACACAGUGUAAGACUCUGACUUGAAACUAUGAAUGCAAAUGAUGCAUGCUUAUGCAAAAACAGACACGUUUCUUUUUUGAAGGACUUGUCAAAGUAUUUGUAAACUUGAUAAGGAACAUUGUUUUAUUUAAAAAUUGUAAAGACGUUGCAAUUGAUUCCCUUUCAAAAGUAAGAACGAAACCAAGGAAAAAGUUCUUAACAAAAGCUAAAGCUUUUUUUGAAGUUUUGGGUUUCUUGGUGUUCCUUCUUACAAGGACCAUAUCUUUGAUGUUUACGAAAACUUAUCUAAGUCCUUCGAUAUUUUGAUGGAAAAAAAAAGUUUUUUUAUGGAUGAAUGCAUGUAUGCAUGAUCAUGCAUGGUGAGGUUGAGUCCACAAUGUUGGAGCUUAGGGUAACAAUGCCAUUUGGUAAGGACUAUGGUUUCAUUUGUACCUGUAUCACGGGUUCUACCAAGUUCCCAAAGUCAUUAACCACUUCCGAAUAUUAUCGGGUUACAAGACUACUCUUGAUCCAAUAAGAUUCGUAGGAAAGUUUCGUUUGAGUGUAGUAUCGCGUAUCAACCAAUUCAGAGACUACUCUUGGUUAGCCACCGCACUACGUCCUAAAAGGCCAAGAUGGGUUAAUGGUAACUAAAGGUCCUCAACAUCGACGGUCACUUGAAAAUACGAUGCCAACACGACUACUCAUGUCAACAUAAAAUUACUUCCAAGAUCCCUCCAUUGAGUGGGGUUGUACCACAUGAACCCAAACACGAGACUUGACUCUCGGAAAGGCACUUUGGUUAUACCACCGUCCUAUCUUAUGUUUCUCUCAAGCCCGGGUGUAGGACUUAUCUCACCACUCAUGUUUAAGAGAAAAGAGGAGAAAGAAAAGAGAAGAUAUGUACAACUAUUUCCAUCUUUUUGUUUUUUGUUUUUGUUUUUUUUUGUUUUAAGCAAGUUAUAGCAUAGAGAAUUAAAUAAGGCCAAGUUAGGCUCAACCCUCUUUAGGGGGUAUCCCCAGUGAAGUCGCCAUUUCUGUCGCGUCAUUUUUUGGAGAUCAAGGCUAUUUGAUUAGCUUUUGACUCACUAAUUAUUUCACGACUGAACGUUUAAUUUUAUUAAGAAAAGGGGAAAAAAGUUCAAAACUACCCCUAUUUGAAAAGAUUUAGGGUUCGGGGGUUAGUUACAUAAAGGGAAGGUAUUAGCACCCUCUAUGUCCGUAGUACUCUACGGGAACCUCUUGGUUUUAUUUAAUUUAAUGUGCUAUAACUUGCUUGCUUUUGAAAAAGAAGUUAAUAUGAUGAUUAAAAGAAAAAGAAAGUGAGGCCUAAUUUAUCUACAUUUUUUAUUGAUUUGGAAGGACAUGGUCCUCUGCCUACGUACCCGUGAGGGAUCAAAACCUCGUAGUUCGGGGUAGAAAAUGACGUUUGAUUUGUUGAGUGUUUUUUAUUAGUUUUGAAAAAAGGGUUUUAAAAGGAAAAGCCAAGUGGCAAAAUAAGAAUUGGUUUGUAUUUUUGUUAAAAGAAAAUGGCUUAAAGUAGAUUUAAAGUUGAUUGCAAUUUUGAUUUAUGAAAGAAAUAAAAUAAAGACGAUCACUUGAUUUGGAUCAAGGUUUGUUUAUGAAAACGUUUUUGUGAUUUUUGUUAUAUUUGGAAUAAGAUAGAACUAACGGAGCAUAAAGAAUAAAAAGCGCGGCUACCCUAAGUUUAGAAAUAUAAAAUCUAUGACUAUUACAUAAAAAGCCUAUUUACAUUCUAAGGUCUGCGAUAAAAAUUAAAAUGCUAAAAAAAAAUAAAUAAACGAAUACGAAAAGGAAUAAGGAAAAAUAAAAAAAUGGUCCAAACACAAGGUGGGGUGCAGUAGAAAACAGGGGUGUGCAGAAAGCAGAAAAGGAAUUGGGCUUAAGGAAAACGAACCGGGUCGCGGGUCAUGGGUUAUGGGUUGACCCGGUUUGAGGAGUAUAUAAGGGUUGUAAACCCUAAUUCCCUCAUUUCUUCUCCCUCUUUCUCUCUCUUCCGUCUCUUUCUCUCUCUUGUUUCUUCUUCUCCGGCGGAGAUGGGGUUGCCGGGAGGAGUUCCGGCGCGGUGGCCGGCGAGCCAUCGCGGCUGCGCCGCCGCGCCGGAGCUAAAAAGCUCUCCUUUUUUUUUAAAUUUUUUUGCCUUUCUGCUUGUUUUCUUCUCCUCUACUUGAUUCUAACCUUAAAAAUUCCCAAUACUAAACCUAGACUCUUAGAUCUAAAAAAAAGGGAAGAUUACUUACUGUUUGUGCGUGCUCGUGAUUUGCGUUCGUGAAUCGAGGCUACGUCGUUUGCGUUGUGGUUCUGCGUGUGUGAUUCGUGCCGGUUCUGUGCGAUGUGUUUGUUGUGUUGCCGUGUUGCGGUUGCGCGCCUCUGUGUGUGUGUGUGUUGCUGGUUUGUGCGACUGUGUUGUUGCUCUUCUUGCUGCUUCUGUUGUUCUCUCGUAUUCUGUUGUUCUCUCGUAUUCUGUUGUUUUUUGCUGUCUUCUGUUGUGUUUUGCUCUUGUGCAGGUCUCUAUUUAUAGAGUGAGUUUGAGGCUAGAAUUUGUUACAAAAAUUGCAGAUUUUAGGAGAUUGAGACGGAGAUAGGCGCGUAACAGACUGGAUGAGGAUGAGGAUGAUGGUUUGUGAUUUGUUACGCAUGAACCUGGACUGUUCUUGGGACUCAUGGACAUUUUUGGGACUUUGGACAAUUUUGGGAUUUAAUAAAAAAGAAAAACUAAUAAUAAAAGGAUAAUAUCUAUAUUUUUGGUUUUAAAUAAAAUAAAUAAAAAAGAAAAAUUUAAUCUAAUCUUGGACUAAAAUUAAAAUUAGAAUUCUAAAAUAAAAUAAAUGAAUAAAAAAAAUAAAAGAUGGAAAUAAAUAAUUAAAGACUGAGAGAAGAGGGCCCGAUUCGGAACUUUAUGAGGUAUUUCAAAAUACCUCCCUGCCGAAUUUUUCACUGAAAUGUGAGUCUGAUCCGAGUUCGGAGACGUGUGUCAGUGGGACCUUAGGUCAAAAUUUGGGGUAUGACAGUUAGUGAUUAUCAUAAUCAUGUGUAAUUUUGCAUUUUCUCAUGUUGUAUGAAAAUGGGUUGAUGAACAAUUCAUGCUAAAUUCGUGCUCUUGCUGUGAUGUUAUGUUUGUAUGCAUGAAUUGAUGUUAGUUGUAAUUAAUUGUUGGUGAAAUUACAUGUUCAUAUAUGCAAAAAUGAUAAGUUAUGAAGAUUGUGCUAAAUUGGUGGAUUUCUCCUAAUUUGUUGUUAAUUUGAGUUGUGAUUCUUGUUCAAAUGAUGUUAUGAAUGUUAUCUGAUAUUAUGAUUGAUGAAUAAUUGCUUUGUUAUGCAUAUUCAUGGAUUGAUGAUGAGAAUUUGAAUUGUGUUGGUGUUUUGGUGAAAAUGAAGAGUUAGCUCAAAUGUCAAGUGUUUUCAAGUUUGAUUGUGUCUUUGUAAGUCUUUUUAGUCAUAUUGACCUAUAAACAUGUUCUGGAAACACAUUUGGGCAUUGAGGGAUCAAAAUUUGGGUUUUGGGGUGAAAAAUGGUUCAAACACGUGAAAAAUUAUGCAGAAAUGAUGACUGUUCGCUUAAGCGAACCGGAAGCGAGCUGUAAGCGAACAGCUACUGUAAGCAGUUCGCUUAAGCGAAGAAUCUCUCGCUGAAGCGAAAUGCCUUUUGACAGCAUUUCUGAUUUCGCGUUCUUGAGUCUUUUUCACCUAUUUCUGUUUUGAAUUGGACUUUGGUGUAAACAUGAAAGUUGUAGACAAUUUUGUUAGCUUUCUAAUGGCUUUGGUUUGACGUCCAAAUGAUUUUUAGAACUUGAGAUAUGAUUAAAUUACUACACAUGGGUCAUGUGGAUUUUUGUGAAAACUUAUCAUAACUUUUUCUUUGAGCCGUGGAACUUUUCCAAACUUGAAAUUGUGUUUAAUGAAGUACUUAGAGUGAAUAAUUGAGUAUGCAUUUAUGUAUUUUGGAAUGUGAAUGUAUUGAUGGUUUAAGAAAUAUUUUGGGCGGAGUUUAAUCGGUGAAAACGGGUUUUGAGCUAAAAUGUCGUUUUGUCUUGGGUUUUCUCAUACGAACUUAAGCUAUCCUUUGAACUAAUUUUUAAUAGUUUGCAAGUGGCUUAAGUACUUGACUACAUGAUUGAUUAAGAUUGAAUUAUAAGACUUCAAACUUGAAUAAGUUGCCUAGCUUUGAAAAUUAUCAAUGUUGGCCGUUUUUCACAUGAUUUGGAUUUUUGUCGGAAAUGUUUCUUUAGCCAAUUGUCUUAUGAGUUAUUGUGACCAUUCUUGUAUGACUAAGUGAAGUUGUAUGAAUGAGUGAUUAUAUUUUGGAUAUGAUGUUUAUCAUGAGAUAUGUAUGCUAUCUUACUUAGAAUGUAAGGAAUGCUUGGAUGGUGAAACUAUAUGUGAUAGUUGAUUUUGAAUGGUUAUAGGUUGAAUAUGAUAUUUAUCAUGAGAUGUUGUUUUCCCUAUUACUUGAAAUAUGAGAAUUGUUUGAAAUGGUGAAACUAUAUGUGAUAGUUGAUGUUGAAUGACAUUGUUGAUUAUUGAUAAUCAUGUUGAAGUGUGAUGGUGAAUACUAUGAUUUAAUUGUGUAUGGGCAUGUUUUCUUGAUAAUACAAAUGAUGUGGAGAUGAACAAUAUAAUUGGGUGUCGUCCUAUAUAUUGUGGAGAAAAUUGUGAUUGUUGUCGCAUUAUCGAGUCCUUAUACAUGUCCAUGCAUCAUAGUCGAUGUUGCUGUAAAAGGGUUGAGCUCUUUUACUUCGAGAUUAUUGUUGGGCAGAGGUGAGCCUUACAUGCGAUGUUGACUUGUCCAUCGGAGGUGACGACCUUGUUGAGAUUUGGUACCACAUGCAUUUAUGUGUCAAUAAGUGCAUAUCUUGACAUGAGUCUUAAAUGAUGUAUGUGAUUUAUGAUUGUCCUUGCUAUUGGUGAUUGAUGAUUGUACGUGAUACAUGUGAAUGAUGUUUGUUCAUGAAAUGUAAUUGGUGAAUGUUCAUGGCUUAUGAUUGGUGAUUGUUCAUGAUUUAUAUGAUUGGUGAUUAUGUAUGAAUAACUGUUAAUUGAUAUUUGUUCAUGAUACAUGUAAUUGGUAAUUGUUCAUGAAAUGUGAUUAAUGAUUAUUCAUGAUACAUGUAAUUGGUGAUUGUUCAUGAAAUGUGAUUAAUGAUUAUUCAUGAUAAAUGUGACUGGUGAUUGUGAAUGAAUAUUUGUAAAUUGAUAACUGUUCAUAUGAUUGAUGAUUAUUGAUGUGAGAUAAUGGGGUUUGAUGUAAGUAUUGACGUGGGAAUAUUAUUAUUGAUCAAGUGCAUGAUGUUUAAAUUGAAAUAUCCAUAUUAACUGUUAUUUGGAUUAUGAUAAUGUAAUACUUAACCCCAAUGGAUCUGUUAUGGACCGCCUGCCUAUCUGUAUGGAUGGGUAGACGUUGUGCAGGUUUAGUUGUUUGGUGAGUUCUUGUGCUUGGUGGAUAUCUGGAGCUUUCUCCGAUAUCGGUGUUUAGAUGUUUAGUCGGCUCUGAUCUAGGCUUCGUUGUGUUGGUCUAGAUUAGGUUAUCUUUGGUUUUUGUUAUGUUUGGAGAUGACCCGUUUGUUGGGAUUUUUGAUGCAUCUAUGUUGAUGUAAUUUAUUUAUUCAUAACAUGUAUAUUUGAAUUUACUCUGGUUUAUAUUCCGCUGCGACUGUUGAAUUUUAUAUACAUGUUUAUUGGUUUUGAAUUUUGAAUGUGGCGUAGCCUCUAUUUCUUGAAUAAAUGUAUUAUUCGCAUGUUUAAUUGCUUAAAUAGAAAUAGGAGCGUUACACGUACCAAACCGCACCUUCUGCACCUCUGAACACUGCAUAACUCUAAAAAUUCUUUCAACUUCCUUGAGCCACUUCUGAGCUCCGUCAAGGUCAUACCUUCCUUUGAAUGUUGGUGGAUGAUUUCUCAAAAAAUUUUCCAACAUUCUUACUCCAUCGUUACCAGCACCAACUUGUGGAUGUUGUCCCACAGCUUGAGCUACAGCCUCGCGCAGCAGCAAUAGCAGCAUCAUUUCUCCCAGCCAAUUUAAAACUCUACACCACAAACAACAAUCAGAACAACAAAAGAUAGUUUUAAAGUUGACACACUACACUACGUGGCUCAACACGACUCUACUACUUGGCCGGACGAACCAACCUGCUCUGAUACCAAUUGUAACACCCCGACUUCCCAACAAUUAUAUUAAUAAAUAAAAUCAGAGUUUAAAUCAACAACGGAGUGUUAUACUGCUUUUCAAAAUUUCUUAAAUAGAAUAUAAAACUAUUUAAUAAACAUCCUUCUUAAACGACAAUAAUUUACAGCGGAAAAUAUCUUUCAAUGUUAAAACAACUUCCUAUAACCCUUGGCACAUGGCCUCAACAAAAUAUCUUUAAAGAUUAAAAUCCACAUUCAACAAGUUCAUAAUGAUACAUAAGGAAUGAAAACAUGACAACAAAUUUCCAUCCCGUUACGUAUCAGAGCACUAGGACACAUGAGCCACCACUUCAAAUACUCUUCAAUACCUGCAAGUUACCCAUACGAAGGGCAACAAUUCCAAGCAGAAGGGGUGAGAUUCACAAACAAUAAUAAUAGAUAUAUAAAUCAUCAACUUAAUUAAAUAACAUAAUUAACAACAUUUAUCCAAUAAUAAUAUUCAUACUUCUUCAAUUUUAAUAACACUUACUAAUCCAAUCAACAACAACGACACAUCAGUAUUUAACAACAACUACAACAGCUUAUCCAACAACACUUCACUCGACAACAACUCAUUCAACAACACCCAACAACAUCUACAACAACAACUCUCUCAACAACAUCUACAAUAGCAACAACGCGGUACUAUUUUCAACGGGUUGAAUGACUAAGCAAUCCGGGGCAUAAGCCCCCAACAAUUUGAAUGACAAGGCAUUCCAGGGCAUGAGCCCUCAACAGUUGAAUGACAAAGCAUUCCAGGGCAUGAGCCCUCAACAGUUUCCUAAUCAUGAAGGACUCAACUUGUGUAUAUCAACAUACAACUCAACUACGACAACGACAACAUAGGCAACAACAACGACUGUGCACAAUAACUAUCACUCACUCCCCAACUUGGUCAACAUCAACAACCUAUGACUCUGUUACUUAUAACGACAACUAACAACUUACAACCCGAACCAACACCUUGUAUAUUCUAAUUGAAUGCAGUUAAGUAUAAACCAGCAUUCAUCAACAAUCAUAAUCAAUCAACAUCAACACAACAGUAUACAACAGCGUGAUAUAACAGUAUCUUAUGCAAUUCAACGAUGUCUAACAUUUUCACAUAAUCCAAGUAAUACUUAUACAAUUUUAUCAUAUUAAUAACCUCAAUUUGUCAUAACCAGCUUCUCAGAUCAUCAUUUAUAUCCUAUACAUCUUUCAUUGUUAUCCCAAAGUUCAACUCACAACCACUCGUGCGACAAAACCACAAGAAACCUAAACACGGCAGUCUGUCAAGCACUAGCUCGCGAGGCGAGAGCCUCUACUCGCCACGGCGAGUUAAGGUAAAACGCUCAAGAAUCCAUUCUGACUCAUUUCCGAGUUCAAUCUCAUUCUAAAACUUUGCCUAAUCAUUAUGGUACAUGUUCAGGCCCUCGUAAACAUCCAAGGUUAAACUCACAGCUCAAAAAUGCGAAAUCGUGCAAGCUCUCUGUCCACACUCGCUAUGGCGAGUAAACUUGCUGGCUAUGGCGAGCUGCGUAGUGCAACUCGCGAGGCGAACAACUCCUGCUCGCGAGGCGAGCGAUGAUCUUCAUCACUCGCUAUGGCGAGGAUCAUCACUCGGGAGGUGAGCGAUGAAUAUCAGUACGGGCAGAUUACAGUUUUUCUCAAAUAUUCACCCAAACCCUUUGUUCUAACUUUAAAACUGAUUCUAAACAUCAAUAUAUGGAACAUCUAAGGUCUGUUCAUCAUUUCUACAUCAAUUCACCCUAAUCCCAUCAUUUAAUCAUCAAUUCUCAUCAUAACCCUAAUUCCUAGUUCUCCACAUUUAUUCAUAACUUUUGUUAAAACAUAAUCAGAAUCAUAUACACUAAAAUUAAUGUAAGUUAGCCUCACCCUUACCUUAGAUAAUCGAAAUCGCAGCCCUUCUUGGUUCUCUUCCCUUUUCUUGACUUUUCUCCCUUUUCUCUGUUGUACGUGAAAACUGCUUGUGACUUCUAUUUUCUAAUUCUUUAAUAAAUAUAAUUUCCCAGUAUUCACUUUACUCCCACUAAAUUUACUUAAUUCUCGUAUAACCCCCAAAACUCCAAUUAAAUCCUACUUCUCACUUAUUCUAUUAAAUAAUAAAAAUAGUCAUUUAAUAAAAUAUACUACACCAGAAAAUCAACGUAAAUCAUUUAAAAUUCAUAUAAAAGACUUUAAAUCAAAUAAAAAUAAUUAAAUAAAAAAUGGGGCGUUACUGUUCUCGCAAGAAGCCAAUUUGUUUCCAUUAGGAGAACCCUGCUCGACAGCCAUUUUACCUUGUGUUCGUAAAAAAUCUUCUCCUAACAAAUGAUAUGACUACUUGAUACCCCUCAUCGAUGUUUAUGACUGUUGUCCUCUCAGCAUUUAUUGCAAGUAUCUUGUAGAUGAGAUUCAAGGAACAUUCCUUUUGGUAACUAAGAGGCACGUGUAAUGGCUAGUAAUGUGCCUAAUUAGAUACGACAUUUAGCACUUAUGUCAAUGUUGGUUUUCGAGGAUGCAUCAUAGCCGCUAAAUCCAUCUUGAUGUUUAGAUACCUGUUGAAUUUUUCUUUGAUCCAUUAGAUUGAUAUGAUUCAACGACCUGGAUCGUUGUUUCCCUUUAAUGAUGUGUUAUCUUAGUUUGAUUUGUUGCAUUGGAUGAGCGCUCCUAGGGUUUUAAAGGUUUUGACAAAAAAGUAUAAAAGGUUUUGUAGGUUCGUUCAUAACACUUUUUACUAUUCUCUUUCAAGUUUGUCAUCCUCUAAAUUUUGCAAAGCAUAUGCAUUUAAGAAGUUUCCAGAUUUAUUCUUUUUGAACAAUUUUCUUCUCCAAUUCAUCUUCUAAAAUAGUUUGGUAUUCUUUGUACUACUUUGUUUUUCCUUUUUUUACGCUAUAAGUUCGGAAACUGCUAAGCAUGUUUUACAGUAAAUGAUGUUAAUGGUUCGAUUCUACCAUCAUAGCUAAUUUUUUUUUUUUUUUUUUAUGAAAUCAAUGUUUGUGUUUAGAGAACCAUCAUGUUCUAGGUAGUUUACUUGAAUCAACACAAGGAUCCAAUUAAACUUUUGCAAACCUUGGCUUUGAUAACAUUAUUGGAUCAUGAAGGGUCCUGAAGGAUCAUGACAUCGAGCCUUGAACAAUUAUACUAGUCAGAGAGACGCCACACAUAUACCCAAAACCUUUAAGGAAUUAAGUUUACAUAUCCUCUUACUUAUAAAGUAUUCAAUAUUUCUUUUUUAUCCAAUAUAAGACUUAUUAAUCACACUUCAUAUACCAAUACGCAAAAGUAACGCAAGUUGUCAAAUGUCACUGUACAUUUGAAUGUGGGAACCAGAAUUGGGAAUGGGUGUAUCCAUUAGUUUUCUAUCUUUUCAAAAUGUUCUUGCUUUUCAAAAUAGUGAACUUGCACAUGAUAUAGGUGAGGUUCUAUAUAAAAUAAAUAAAUAAAUAAAAAAUAUAUAUAUUUCGUUUUCCGAAUAAAGAAAAUUCAAGUGCUAAACUAAAGGUUAACAAUAUCAAGAAAUCACUCUAUCAGGUUAGUUUAUAGGAAAGUAGAAUAUCAACACAAAAUGUACCAGGGAAUAAGGUGUUUAACUCACAUAGAAUACAGAACAUUACCAAAGAAGCGAUCAAUAUGCAACUAAUAAUCAAAUCAAAUUUCUGUUCAUAACUGCAAUACUAUUGUACUUCAAGACUUAUCAACCAUGUAAAGAGAUAAAUAAUCUGCCUAAACUGCAGUUCAGAUUGAGAAACCUCUGAUCAUGGGCACAUAGUGAAGAAGGUGAUCGACGAAAAUGCCAAAAGCCUUUGAAGAACGAGAAAAUGAAGACGGGUUAAGGUUAGGGCCAGGGUCACCUGCAAACUGAAAUGAAUUAAUGCGAGUCUUUGAUUAUGCAUUAUGCUUAUAGUACUUGGGAAAUACUCAACUAAAAUACAUAUAACAAAAGUUUUUAUGUGAUUAGAAUAAAAAGGAAAAGCCAAAACCCCUAGAAAACAAAUAACCAAAAAUGAGGAUAAAAAAAUUAAACGGUCAGAGGCCUUGUUAAACAUGAGAUAGAAACAAUAUAUACAUCCUUUUCUUAUCGCAUCAACUUUCUUCUCAACGACACAAGAAUGAUCCUUUAGCAGGGAUUAAUGAUUGAUUGACCUUGUAAUAAAAAUUUACACUGACAGAAUAUUAAUUUGAUAAUGAUAUACAAGUGGCUUCCAAAUAGAAUGAAACCAAUAGUCCAAUUGAAAAUUUUGAAGUGCUUAUAUAAAUAAUAAUAAUUCAAUACCACAACAAGAUUAACAACUAAGCUUUAUUAUAUUAAGUGGGGUUGGCUACAUGGAUGAACUUAAUCAUAAUAUAACACCAAAUCAAGUUAAAUAUUUGCCAAAGGGUCAUGGCCAUGGCUUGAUGGGUUGAACAACAUCACAAUACUUACAAAGUCUUGGUAUCAUGGAAACACAAUCUGAAAAUGAAGCACUGAUACGGACACGACACAGACACUGACACGCCGACACAACUAAUAAUUUGAAAAAAUCACAUACUUCAGUGUAAUUACAAGUGUCGGUGUUAGACACGACACGCGUCCGACACCAGGACACACCGAAUCCGAGGAGUGUCUGUACUUCAUAGGGGCACACACAUAGAUAAAUUAUUCUGAGAUAAACUUGGCUGUUGUUAAGAAAAUGAGCAAAAUAUUAACAAAAAAGACAGUUAUCUGCAAUCACAAGAAUGCAUAGGACACAUCUUUAAUAGAUAGUUGAAAUUUCAAAUUAGAUAUAAAUACAGUAACAAUAGUGCUCAAGAAAAAUUUCUAUUAACCAGAGAGGGAAUCAGGAAGGGAUUGUAAAUAAACAAAACAAAAUUUAAGCACUGAUAAGUAAAAGCUGAUCACAUUUGUUUUGUAUAUAGGGUAGGAUGAAGGAUAAUACAUGAGAGUUAUCUAUAUUGUUUUCUUUGGCAUUUUCUACAUCCCAUACGAUCCAAUUCCAUAAUAUGAUAACUCCACAUAAUUGCAUACAAAUAGUGUAUAGACCUUGGUUAAUAAGUGUUAAAAUUAUAGUCAGUUAGUAUAUAAUUUAUUGAGUUAACUCAUUUGUACUAUCAUCGAUACAAUAGGUUGUUAAGGUUUUCUUUAACAUUUCCGUGGACGUCGACGUUGGCCACGUCGUGAGACUUUUGUUCAAGUUUACUAGUAUACAGAUAAGAAGCAUUGUCAUGCUACUGAAAGAGUCAUGAGGUGCCUUAAGAAGAUUAUGACUCUAGGAUUACAUUAUGAGAAGUAUCUUAUUGUACUUGAAUGGUACAAGAUACAAAUGAGAAGUAUCAUAUUGUACAUGAGUGGUACAAGAUAAAAAAAUUGAACAUCCUUCAGAUGAGUUUCAAAGCGACCAGUGACUGCCCAUUGAGUAUCACUGGAGGAGUUAUUUGUUGAAACAAAUGAUAUUGACUCAGUCCACUAUGGAAUGAAUCUGAGAUGAGAACAUUAGAGAAAACUAGUGAAGAAGCAAGUUGAUAAGAUGCUUGCUAGCUGAGAACCCUUAGUGGGUGAAACCGUUGUCCGAAGUGUUAAUUUUUUGUGAUAGUCUGCAGCUAUUACAAAAUUGAGAAUCGUUACCACAAUGAUGAGAGACGAUAAUUAAGGCACGAACACAGAAUGAUUAGAGAGCUCUAAAAGGAACGGUUAAAGUAUAUCGUGCACGUACUGAUAAAGAAUUAGUCAAUCCUUUGACGAAAGGAAUUGCUAGAAAGAAAGUCCUAAACACAUCCAAUAGGAUGGGACUAAUGCCCAAAGGUCACAAAUGAUGGUAACCCGACCUACAUGAUUGGAGAUCCCAAGAAAUAGGUUCAAUGGGUAAUAACAAGUCAUGAGUGAUAGAACAUGCUAUGAGAAAAGUAAGAAAGCAUGAUUCCUGCAGUGACAGAAGGAUGAGAUAAUAGAAACUCUUAAUGAGAUCUAUACUCUAUGUGGAGUGGAGUACCUAGCUACAGGAGUACCCUUGAUAGACUCACCUAUGCGAAUGUGAAACUUAGGCCGAUUCCUAUGGUAUUCGGGGCAGAAUACCUAGAACGUUCGUUAAAACCGGGAUAGACGUGCAGGGCCAUAAAACGCACGAGCUUUUAGAAUACACCUUAGGAAAAGGUUUGUGUGUGGGUUCUAUGUCUGAGAUAGAGUUCAAUGCUGUAAGCAACUCUUGUUAAAUCGGAAUAUUAUCCGCUAUGCAAAGGUUCAAGUUGUAGGCGACACCUUUGUUUAUUAGCAACCUUAUAGAAACGUUUUGACGUUAUUAUUGAAACCAUUUUUUAAAUUCAAGUGGGGGAUUGUUGGAACAUUGAUGUGAUGUUGGAUGAAAAAUUGAAAGAUUAAACACCAAGUAAAUAUACUUUGAUCUAAUGUUGUGUGAAUUAAAAAAAAUAGAGUGUGGGGGUCCCACAUAAAAUAGAACACACACAUUAGUAGUGUUUAAAUUGUGGUAUUUAAUUUUAAAUACUUGAUAAUGAUAAAAAUAAUAGUAAUUAUUAUUUUUAUUUGAGAAUAUCACUUUCCAUAAAUUUAGUUUAUGGUGGUUGUGAUAAGAAUAAUAAUUUAAUUAUUAUUAUAUUUCCUUCAUUCAAAUCCAAUAGUUUGUUACCUCCACUUUUGUGGAUUUGUUUCUUUUGAUCCUAUCCACAAGUGUUGUUGAACUGAUUAAUGGAUAAACUCCAUUUUAAUCUUAUCCACUAGAGUAACUGUUGUCGCAAUUUUUGCAGUUACAGAAUCUCUAUAUAAAUAGAGGACUCCACUCAGUUCAAAAAACACACCAAAGAGUUUCAUUGAGUUGUCGGGAACUCUUUCUCUCUUCUCCCUCUCUUGACUUGUGUUGACGAGUCUUUCUUCUCUUCAUCUCAUUUUUCUGUCCCUUCGGAUUUAAGAGUGUUCUUAAGACCAUAGUCCCUUUUCGGUUUAAUGUCCCUUCGGAAUUAAGAAUGGUCUUAAAAACAUAGUCCCUUCGAUAAAUGUCCCUUCAGAAUAAAGAGAGUACUUUUAAGGUCAUAGUCCCUAUUUGGAAUAACAAUGUCCCGUCGGAAUUAAGAAUGAUCUUAACAGUAUAUAUAAAAAUAUUUCAAUAUUUUUCUAUUUAAGGAGAAAUUGUGGUAUCACCAUAUUUGAGUGGUCGUAGUGCCAUAUUAAUGUUUUGGAGAAGUUAAAGUUAGAAUGGUGGCAACACCAUAUUUGAGUGGUCUCAACACCAUAACAGUGUGGUUACAAUACCAUAGGUGGUUUCAGUAUUAAAGAGUGGUCUUAGUACCAAAUAUGAGGGUGUAAUUCUCGAACGGUUUUCUACAGUGCAGUAACUAACCGCACAGUUGUAGCUGGGCUUGUUUUAUCCUGGAGGCGGCGUGGUUGAUAGUCUGCCUUGUACAAUUUUGGGCAGUGCCACGAAACGUCUUAAAGACGCCGAUUUCUAUGUAAAUAUUUACCCCUUUAAACUAAAGAAUAGUGGGGGCACUAGUGGGAGCACAACAUUAUCGGGGGAAAAAUAAUUUUCCUUCUAAAAAUUAAGAACUAGUGGGGGCACUAUAUCUGAUCACAUUCAUGUAAUCAGAAAUAGUGGGGGCACUAUAUCUGAUCACGGUUCAACGUCAAAUUUCAAUUCCAAUCUAGGAAUGUGAGCUAUCUUGUGCCAAUCUUCCCCUGUUUCUUUCUUGCAUCGGUUCAUAAGCAUGGGACAGUUAGAAAUACGUAACUCUUUCAAGUUUAUGAGUUCUUUAAAGCUAUUUGGUAAUGAGGUUAACUUGGGAAACCGUUUGAUUUCUAAUGUUUGAAGAGAAGUCAUGGCUCCCAACCAGUGUGGUAAGGAUGCAAGAGAAGAACAAUCAUACAGCUGCAAAUUUUGCAAACAGGGGAUACCUUCUAAUCCAUUUGGCAAUAUUCCAUUUUUAUCUUCGCUGAUGAUUCUCACUUCACGAAGGGAACUUAGCAUGUUCAUAUUAGCUGGUAAAACGAGAUUGGGGCAAUAGGCGAUUUGAAGAGUCUCGAGACAAGUUAGGUUUGUCGUACUUUGGGGCAAGGAUAUUAAGCUUUUGCAAUACGUAAAAGACAAAACUCGAAGAGAACUCAAACCUUGAAGUACACACUGGGGGACAGACUCAAGCUUUGGACAAAAUGAAAUUAAUAGUUUUUGUAGGGAACUGAGAGAGUUGAGUUCAUUAGGUAGUACCUUGAGUUCAUCAAACUUUUGAAUGAAAAGUUCCUCGAGAUUAUUCAAACUAGCUGCAAUUACCCUCAGGAAAGAUGCACCAUCGUCAUUGAAAUCAGUUUCUCCGAUAGCACAAAGAAACUUAACAGAUUGAAGGGAUGGAAAUGCAAGCUUAUAGUUCACAUUUAUGAUUAAGUUGUAAAGUUGUGACAACAUCUCCACUCCUUCAGCUUUCAACACCCUCUCUAAAUUUGGCAAAUUACGUAACGACAUUUCCUUUAGUGACGGAAAAGCCUUCUUGGUCGCACCUUCAUACAUGUCAUCGUCAAUAUACUUUACAUCUCGUAUUCCAGAUACAUAAAGAGUGGUUAAACAAGGUAAUUUACCAAGUGGGGGAAGCCGCUGACAGUUUUUACAGUUAUAGAGUAUAACAUAAACUAACCCUUCCAAAAUAGAAGUAUUUUUCAUCCAAUUUGGAAUAUUUAUUCCCCCAUAACCCUUCAUCCCAAAACAUUUGAGACCCGGGUGAGGCUCUCAAGGGCUUCAAGAACUUUCCACCACAGAAAUCCAUUGAUGUUCAUCGCUUUUAAAGCGCAAAAGGCUUCCCAAUACUUUAGCAGCAAGAGGUGAACCCACACAUUUUCUCACUAACUUUUGGCCUAUUUCCACAAGCUCUGCACGCCCUUCUCUAUUUGCUCCAAAAGCAUGUUGUUUGAACAACGACCAGAUGUCAUCAUCAGAUAACUGUGCUAAAGGAUGAACCUUAGUUCCCAUGAUGGAUGCAACAAUCUCAAGUCUGGUAGUGACCAAAAUUGAUGCACCUUUCUUUCCAUUUGGCAACAAAGACUUGAACGUAUUCCAUUUCACUUGGUCAUCACUCCACACAUCAUCAAGAACAAGCAAAUACCUUUUGUUUUGCAAAAUUUCUUGAACCUUUUUUCGCAAGGACUCUAAAGACAAGAGAUCUAGAUUUUUUUCCAAUGGUGUUUUCUAUGAUGGACUCUAAAAUUUUCAUCAAACUGAAAUCAUCCGAAACACACACCCAUAUUUUCAAGUCAAAAUGUGUUUUUACCCUUUCAUCAUUGUAGACCACUUGAGCGAGUGUUGUUUUUCCUUGUCCGCCAACACCAACAAUGGAAUAGACAGAGAGUUCUUCACUGUUACUAGCAUGCCCUAUAAGAAACUCUACAAUCUGCUCUUUAUCUUUGUCUCUUCCAUAUACUUUUGGUUCGGUGACAGCAGAAGUAGUUAGGAUCCAUUCAUCAUCUCCUCGUUGGUGCUCCUCCGUGACUCCCACUGAUUGAAAUCCAAACUUUUUCCUUUCUUCAGCAAUAUCAUCAAUCCUUUUAGCAACCUCCUUCAUCCUCUUUCCAAUGUUGCGACGAGCCAAAAUCUUCAUUGGAUGGAAACGGGUGAUGCACUUGUUGCCUUCAUGUGCUUUUGAAGUUAUUGAACAUUCAUCCAAUAUAUCAUCAAGUACAUAAGCAGCAUCACCCAAUUUCUGCAGCCAUUGUUUCACAACAUUGCUUGUUAUCUGCUUCUUUUCGGCAUCUUUUAGUAUGUUGUGAAUCCGGCUCAACUAAUGAACCUUCACACCAAUGAGAAUAAACCAAUGAUAUGUGGAGCAAGUGAUAGAGAUAAUCUAUGAGUGCAAAUGGCCUUCAAGCUAACAACAACAAAACAGCCUAAGCCUAAUGUAUAGCAAAACCACACUAAGAGCUAACAAGCAUACAAGAUAAACGAUAAAAGAAAACGAACAAACACCGAGCAAGAUUGUUGACCCAGUUCAGCCAAUGUGGCUUAAUCUGGGGGAGAGAGCAGCUCUCCAAUCCAAUAUGUGAAUGUGUUACAAAAGAGUUACAAGAAUCUAGCUAUUCAAGCUUUACACAUGAACAAACCCUAGAUCUACCCUUUGGUAUUUUCCCAUCCUCACACUAUGAACCCUAAAUCCCAAGGUGAUUACAAUGUUGUUUUCCCAACCUAAGAUACACUCUCAUCAAAGGAACACACCCCAAAGGAUCCCAUCUUUGAUCUCCAAGUUUUCUCUCUUAAGCUCUCUCAAGGUUCUCUCCAAAAAAGCACAAGAACACUUUAUAUACUAGUCCUGCCCUGAAGAAAUCGUGUCACGAUUUCCCUAGAUCGUGUCACGAUCUGCAACGGUCCCAAGGUUGACCAGUCCUUAUCAGAGAUACUUAACCAGCAAGUUUCUGAAUCGUGUCACGAUUUCCCAAGAUCGUGCCACGAUUUUGCUUCCAGCAAACUUGGCUCACGGCAUCUCCGAUCGUGUCACGAUUGCCAAAUCGCGACACGAUUCCUCUGUUCUUCCAAACCACAAAUUUGAAGCCAAUUUUCAACAUAGUACAGCACGGAUUGUGGUGAGGUUUUCAUUUUGCUUAUGGGUCAAUUCUCCAACACCCAAAAAGGAUGCAAUCUCCUCUCGAACAAAAGAUCCGAGGUUUUCAAUCACGAUUCCAAUUAAAGCGUCAGCCAUUUCGAGAAAUGUGAACAGAAAUGAAUCAAAGUUUGCUAUAGGAAAUUGAAUAUGAUAAAUUGUUUGUUUUUGAUGAUUAAAUCGGUGGCUAUAGUUGCCUCUUAUAGACAACAAUAAUUAGUAUUACUCAGUGCUUAGGAAAAGACACACUUUGUGAAACUUU
rnacentral:lncRNA from 1 species